AGAUUAUAAUAAUAUUAACUAGAAAAUGCAAUUUCUGGAGAAAUUGCAUGUGAAGGCGAAGACUUUGAAUAACCUCUUGGGGAAUGCUGCCGAAUGAUGUUGAAACGAGUUGAAUUACUUGAGAAAUUAAGCUCAGUGGCCUAGUGGUAGAGUGUCCGCCCUGAGACUGGAAGG